rnacentral:rRNA from 1 species
AUCAGCAAGAACCAACAGGGAUUGCCCUAGUAACGGCGAGUGAAGCGGCAACAGCUCAAAUUUGAAAUCUGGCCCUAGGCCCGAGUUGUAAUUUGUAGAGGAUGUUUCUGGUGCGGUGCCUUCCGAGUUCCCUGGAACGGGACGCCAUAGAGGGUGAGAGCCCCGUCCGGUCGUGCGCUAAGCCUAUGUGAAACUCCUUCGACGAGUCGAGUAGUUUGGGAAUGCUGCUCAAAAUGGGAGGUAUACGUCUUCUAAAGCUAAAUACCGGCCAGAGACCGAUAGCGCACAAGUAGAGUGAUCGAAAGAUGAAAAGCACUUUGAAAAGAGGGUUAAAUAGUACGUGAAAUUGCUGAAAGGGAAGCGCUUAUGACCAGACUUGGGCUAGGUGAAUCAUCCGGCGUUCUCGCCGGUGCACUUUGCCUGUCCAGGCCAGCAUCAGUUCACGUCGGGGGAUAAAGGCGUCGGGAAUGUGGCUCCCUCGGGAGUGUUAUAGCCCAGCGUGUAAUACCCUGAUGCGGACUGAGGUACGCGCUCCGCAAGGAUGCUGGCGUAAUGGUCAUCAGCGACCCGUCUUGAAACACGGACCAAGGAGUCGUCUUCGUAUGCGAGUGUUCGGGUGUCAAACCCCUACGCGUAAUGAAAGUGAACGUAGGAGAGAGCUUCGGCGCAUCUCCGACCGAUCCUGAUGUUCUCGGAUGGAUUUGAGUAAGAGCAUACGGGGCCGGACCCGAAAGAAGGUGAACUAUGCCUGUAUAGGGUGAAGCCAGAGGAAACUCUGGUGGAGGCUCGCAUCGGUUCUGACGUGCAAUCGAUCGUCACAUAUGGGCAUGGGGGCGAAAGACUAAUCGAACCUUCUAGUAACUGGUUUCUGCCGACGUUCCCCUCACGAUACAAACAGA